rnacentral:rRNA from 1 species
UACAGAGGUCUCAAGCGUUGUUCGGAUUCAUUGGGCGUAAAGGGUGCGUAGGUGGCGCGGUAAGUCGGGUGUGAAAUCUCGGAGCUUAACUCCGAAAUUGCAUUCGAUACUGCCGUGCUCGAGGACUGGAGAGGAGACUGGAAAUUCAUGGUGUAGCAGUGAAAUGCGUAGAGAUCAUGAGGAAGACCAGUGGCGAAGGCGGGUCUCUGGACAGUUCCUGACACUGAGGCACGAAGGCCAGGGGAGCAAACGGG